CGGGAAUUUUGGGCAAUGGGCGAAAGCCUGACCCAGCAACGCCGCGUGAAGGAUGAAAUCCCUCGGGAUGUAAACUUCGCAAGAACGGGAAGAAUAAGUAAGGGUUAAUAUCUCUUACGAUGACGGUACUGUUUGUAAGCUCCGGCUAACUCCGUGCCAGCAGCCGCGGUAAUACGGGGGGAGCAAGCGUUGUUCGGAUUUACUGGGCGUAAAGGGCGCGUAGGCGGUCCUGAUCGUCGGAUGUGAAAGGCCUGGGCUCAACCUGGGAACUGCAUCCGAUACGGCGGGACUGGAGUGUGGGAGAGGUUGGUGGAAUUCCCAGUGUAGAGGUGAAAUUCGUAGAUAUUGGGAAGAACACCGGUGGCGAAGGCGGCCAACUGGACCACAACUGACGCUGAGGCGCGAAAGCGUGGGGAGCAAAC
rnacentral:rRNA from 1 species